AACGAACGCUGGCGGCAGGCUUAACACAUGCAAGUCGAACGCGUGCAGCAAUGCACGAGUGGCGCACGGGUGAGUAACGCGUGGAUAUCUGCCUUUUGGUUCGGAAUAACCCCGGGAAACUGGGGCUAAUACCGGAUGGUUCCUACGGGAUAAAGAUUUAUCGCCAAAAGAUGAGUCCGCGUCCGAUUAGCUAGUUGGUGAGGUAAUGGCUCACCAAGGCGACGAUCGGUAGCUGGUCUGAGAGGACGAUCAGCCACACUGGGACUGAGACACGGCCCAGACUCCUACGGGAGGCAGCAGUGGGGAAUAUUGGACAAUGGGGGCAACCCUGAUCCAGCCAUGCCGCGUGAGUGAUGAAGGCCUUCGGGUUGUAAAGCUCUUUUGGCGGGGACGAUGAUGACGGUACCCGCAGAAUAAGCCCCGGCUAACUUCGUG
rnacentral:rRNA from 1 species